CCGUCGGCGGGACGGGACUGUGCCGCUCUCUCUCCUGAUCUUCCCCUUCAUUCGGGGUCUAAUAAGUGUUGUAAAGUUGUUAAAAGAAAUAACAGGAUUUUUACCGAAAAGUGUUUUGUUGAGUACGAAGUUAUAGAGAAUGAUCGUGGUGUGUGGUUUAGAUUUCGCGAUGGAGUAAAAAUUAUAUACGUGUUAUAAGCAGCCAAGCCACACGGCACCGAAAAAAAGUUUUUUUGGUUUACUCAAAAUAAAGGAAAAGUGCUGUGGAGAUAUACCAGUGUUAGUGAAUGUUAAAGAGGUGAUUUUAAGAUACAUGAAAGUGGAUUGUACAAAGGAUAACAAUUUUCAUCACUGGAAGAAAGCCCGACGAUGUAUGAUAGGUUAUGGUGUUGAGGUGGUGAUGGCGGGUGUGGUGAGCGCCGGGGGCAGCAGCGGCAAGGGGCGCCGCCCCCUGGGUGCCCCCCGCGGGACCAGCAGCAGCAGCUCCCCCAGGUCCUGCUCCUUCCCCGUUGGCGGCGGCGGUGGCCUGCCGUCACGCGCAUCCAUGCGGCCUUCACUGCUCGGUCUCUUUCUGCUGACCGCUCUUGCUCUCGCCUCAGCGGAACAAGUGGUACUCCUGGACACCACGACGGAAUCCUCCCUGGAAUGGACCAGAUAUCCCUUCGGACCCAACUCGCCGACUCCUGGGUGGGUUGAGGAGAGCUUCACGCAGUUCGAGAACGGCAUCAACUGGCGGUCGUACGUGGUGUGCGACGUCGCCUACAACAACGUCAACAACUGGCUGUGGACGCCCUUCAUCGAGCGCGGCCCCGCCAACCGCAUGUACAUCGAGGUCAAGUUCUCCAUGCGGGACUGCUCGCUCUUCCCCGGCACCGCUCUCUCGUGCAAGGAGACGUUCUCGCUCUUGUACUACGAGUUCGACGCCGCCACGAAGGAGCCGCCCUUCUGGGAGCCCGAGAGCUACAAGCUGAUCGACCGCAUCGCCGCCGACGAGGGCCGCUUCACCAACUCUGCCGACAUCAUCAUCAACGCCGAGGUGCGCUCCAUCCCGGUCACCAAGAAGGGCAUCUACUUCGCCUUCAGGGACCAGGGCGCCUGCAUCUCCCUGCUGGCCAUCAAGGUUUACUACAUCACUUGCCCGGAGAUCACCAAGUCCUUCGCCCACUUCCCCACAACGCCCACGGGUGCGGAGGUGACAAGCAUCGAGCAGGCCAAGGGCGUGUGUGUAGCCCACGCCCGCGAGGAUCCCCCUGCCAAGUUCCUGUGCACGGGCGACGGCCAGUGGUCCCUCCUCAGCGGCGGAUGCGCCUGCCUGCCCGGCUACCAGGGCAACGUCGAGAAGCAGAGCUGCGAUGUGUGUCCUCCAGGCAAGUUCAAGGAUGCUGUGGGUGCGUCUGCAUGUCGUGCAUGCCCAGACCACAGUGCCGCUCCUCAUGCAGGUGCCACCGAGUGCCGUUGCGACACUGGCUAUUACCGUGCUCACAAAGAUCCCCGGAGCAUGCCAUGUACCCGUCCUCCAAGCAAGCCCCAGAAUGUCACAGCCAACGUCUUGGAUCAGUCCACGGUCAUCCUAGGAUGGCAGCCUCCGGUUAAUGAUGGCGGCCGCACCGACAUCCUCUACAGGGUCAUCUGCGAUGCCUGCAGUAAUCAGGUGUCCUACAAUCCACCCCAGGUUGCAGAGGAGAGUUUCAACACAACCCAGGUUACCAUCACUGGCCUGUAUCCUGUAACCACUUACAGGUUUCAGGUCUUUGCAGAGAACGGAGUUUCUGAUCAGGGUCGAGAUCCCCAGUAUGUUGAUAUAACUGUGACCACAGAAGCAUCAGGUGGCUUUAUGGUGAUUGGCUCCGAUACAGAGGUUCCAGCCAUGGUGAGCAAUGUCCAUGUUACCAGUGUGAAGAGCACUGAAAUAUCCCUUGCUUGGGAUGCUCCCAAUGACCCAGAUAAUGAAAUUGAAAUGUAUGAGGUUCGGUACUUUGUCCGUGGGAUGGAGAGCAAUUCAUCGAGUUUGUUAGCAACAAAGGAAGAGUCAUCUGUCGGUGCACUAAGACAAAGAACAGAAUAUGGUUUUCAAGUUCGUGCCAAGACCGCCAAUGGCUUUGGGGAUUACUCUCCCCCGAUCUACAAGAUGACCGGGCAGCUGCUUAGCCCAGCUUAUGUUGGUGAUGAAGACAAUACACAAGUGCGGAUCAUAGUGGGAGCCACAGUUGGAGCUUGUGUUGUUAUUGCAGUAAUUGUCAUCAUGACGCUGUUGUUCUUGAGAAGCAGAGGCACAGAUGAGUGUAAUAAGAAGCAGCCCUCAGACUGUGACACCCUGGAAUACCGCAACGGUGAAGAUACCACCAACUUGUGUCUUCCUGCGUUACACCCUGCCUGCUUUAGAACUGGUCAUCUCACCCCGUGGACCCUAAACACAUCUCCUCUGUACAUGCACGGUGUUUUGGAAAACCCACCCAUAGUCCAAACCCACAUCACCGGAAGUAUGACAACUCCUCUCUUCACACAAGUAGGGCACCACCGGACGUAUAUAGACCCCCACACAUAUGAAGACCCAAAUCAAGCCAUAAGGGAGUUUGCACGGGAGAUAGAUGCCUCCUACAUCACCAUUGAGGCCAUUAUUGGAGGUGGAGAAUUCGGUGACGUUUGCAAAGGGAAGCUGCAGCUUCCAAGCCGGCCAGAGAUGACAGUUGCAAUCAAGACUCUGAAGCCUGGGUCCUCUGAGAAAGCUCGUGUGGACUUCCUGACAGAGGCAUCCAUCAUGGGUCAGUUUGAGCACCCUAAUGUCAUUUUCCUGCAGGGGGUUGUUACAAAGAGCAACCCUGUCAUGAUCAUCACAGAAUACAUGGAGAACGGCUCACUAGACCAUUUCCUCAGGGUGAAUGAUGGCAAAUUCCAAGUACUCCAGCUGGUUGGGAUGCUCCGAUGUAUUGCCUCAGGGAUGCAGUACUUAAGUGAAAUGAAUUACGUACACCGUGACUUGGCUGCUCGUAAUGUUCUUGUCAAUGCUCAGCUAAUAUGCAAGAUUGCCGACUUUGGUUUAUCCCGUGAGAUUGAAAGUCACACAGAAGGAGCAUACACCACAAGGGGUGGCAAGAUCCCUGUGCGAUGGACUGCCCCAGAGGCUAUUGCUUUCCGUAAGUUCACCAGCGCUUCUGAUGUAUGGAGUCUAGGCAUCGUGAUGUGGGAGGUGAUGAGCUAUGGGGAACGACCUUACUGGAACUGGAGUAAUCAAGAUGUCAUCAAGAGUAUUGAGAAGGGUUAUCGUUUACCGGCACCAAUGGAGUGUCCAGAAGCUAUCUACCAGCUGAUGCUGGACUGUUGGCAGAAAGAACGCAAUCAUCGUCCCAACUUUGCAUCCAUUGUGCGGACGUUGGACAGACUUAUCCGCACUCCUGAAGCACUAAACAAAGUAGCUCAGAACAGGCGGCCGGCCCCCCAAAACCCCUACUAUGCACCCGUCCUCAUCCGACCCCAGUGGGUCAACUUUAACCAGGCAGCCUAAAAUAAGCGCCGUCAUGCCUGACUGACAUGUCUGUCACCUGGUGGAGGUUUUAUAAGGUGUACAACAGCUCUGGGUCUUGACUCAGUGGACAUGACACAGCUCACAUCUGUGGAGGACUGGCUUGCUUCCAUCAAGAUGACCCGCUAUCUUGACAACUUCCAGCGGACGGGCUUGACUGACCUGGAAGCUGUGGCACGCCUGACGCAGCACGACCUAACACAGCUUGGCAUUACCCUAGUUGGCCACCAGAAGAAAAUUUUGCAGAGUAUACACACCAUGCGCACGCAGCUUGCCGUCAACAUGUCCGAGGGCUUCCUGGUAUAGUGCCACUACUCUAACCCAUGCCAACAGUCGGCACUCAAGUUAGGGUACAAGUAGUCAGGUGGGCUAAAUGUCCAGGUCCAGAGUGAAUGCGAUGUCCGUUGGUGCGUCAAAAGUUGGACCUGAAGGCCAUCGUCUACGUGAAAAUGUGAUAAUGAUCGAGGGAAAGACACUAAAGCGAAGCUUGAGUCCUGGGCGGGGUAGAGUGCAUUUUAUUUUAUUUUAAUUGCAAUAAUGUGAAAAAAUUGUCCGUCACAAAGAACCCUCUCUUUUGCCCAUUAGCUCAAGGAAACCCUCACCCCAGGAUGCAACAAGCGAACUGUAAGAAAACGUGGUUGACUGCAACCAGAGACUGUUGUUUUGGGAAUCAGCAAGUGCUCCCAGCCCUCUCCUUCUUGUGAUAUUUUCAUGGCCAAUGGUGUGUUGGAGACAGAACUGUGGUGCGCAUGUGUGUGGUGUAUGGACAGAACGACGAACAGCUGUAAAUCAACUCCUGCGAGAGCUCGUGUCUGCAUUAGGGUUGACAAGCAUGCCUGUCACUUCUGCGCGUUGUACGCCACUGGUUUGACCCUUAGUGUAAUUGUUGAUAUUCCAUUUGCUGCCAGACCUUAUUCUGCCAAAGUCUAGUAUUGGUGUUGUCCUUUCUACCCUUUGAUGAAAUCUCGGAGAUUGUUUCCCCAUUUCAGCUUCCGCAAGCGUCUCACUUUCUACUGAGAGAUUAUAAGUUGCCUGAUGUGGUGAAGCGCAGUGUAGUGUGUAUUAAAGUUGCUCAUGCACACGACUGGAAAAUGGGAAAAAAACUAAUGGGUGAACAAAAACAUGUUAUAUAUAUAUAAUGAUGAUAAAGAGCUCUGCAAAAGGUUCUAAACAUAUAAAAAGCUAAACUUUUAAAAAGCAGCUUUUUCAAGGGGGAUUCUUUUUGAUAUAUUUGGAGGAUAUGAGUAUAUAUACUUUAAAAUGUAAAAAAAAAAGACGUUGCAUACUAGAAACAGCCAAGAGAUGAGAGAGAUCCUCCCUCCUUGACGCACAUAUCACUUUCCCAUCUUGUGAACAUCCGGCCAUUCCUCGCUCCCUUUCCUCCCUCCCUCCCAAAGGACCCGUCACCGCUGUAGUCACGUCGCCUCGUUGUUUGCCCGAGUAAGAAAAUGCAGUGCUGGUAAAUGGCUGGGUGGGUUGUCUCAUGAUCACAUUUAAGCAAAACAAAUAGGUUGUCCAGAAUGUGUCAAUGAAAUGUAAAGCUUGAGUGGAGAAAAAAAAGCAAAAUCAGAUAGAAUGAGUUGUCAUUUAAGCUCUUGUUUUUAUGAAUAUUUAAAAAAUGAUAUACAGAAUAUCGAAAGAUAUUUUUUUAGUAAAAGUCGUCACAAGUCCAACUGAGGUGAUAAAGCCUGUAUCACUCGACCAUGUACUAACACCGCAAGAGAGCUCGGCCCUCCUCAGUGUCUGUCCAGUCACCUCAAGGCAUCACUCUGCCCCCUUCUUGCACAGGUUAUCCAUAUCAUUUAAUGUUUACUUUCCCAAUCGAUGAUUUAAAAAAGAAAAUAGUGUUGUCAAUAGUGUUGCAAUAUUCCCAAAUGAUAUUGUAGCCUGGUUUUAGUCACGACAUUGUUUCCUUUGAUGUUAACCACUUGUAUUUCCUUGCCUCUCCUUCUUCCCUUUUUUAGCCACCAGAUGAUUUGCCAAAAACGACCAAGUGCAUGUUAGUGUAUUCCUGUGUACUGUUGUUAGCAGAAGCCUGUGUUUUUGGGAACGUGUGUGAUGACUAGAUAAUCAAAAUUUUUUGUAGAUCCUGUUUAGUAUUAGAAAGAAGUUUCUACAAAAGCACCAAGCAAUACAACUCACUGAUAUAAGAAUGUGUUACUAGCUGUAUUGUUACUGUCAAACUAAUGAGUAACAAUCAAAAAAACAUCCUUAACCGUUUAGCUAGAUAUUUUCAUACAUCACACUUCAUAAUAACUAUAGGAGAAGAAAAGUAGAAUCUAAGUCCCAAAGAUGGAGGAAGGAAGGUGUGAGUAUUCCUAGGGAAGUUCCGUGUGUGAUAAUUUUGGAUUCUUGUAUUUUGGAAAGGGGAGGGAGAUGAUGUGGCAAAGUGGUCCACAUCCCUUGUGCCAGAGUGGGCCACUGGUCUUCACAUUCCACACCCUCUCAGUUAAGGUUCCAUGUCAGGGCGUUUGCCAUUAGAAUUGUUCCUAUUAAGAUGUAAUUCAGCUUGCAUAAAGUUUUUAGCCAAUCAUUUCAAGUAGCUUCCAAAAAAGUGGUCUUCGAUUUGCAGUUUUCAGUUGCUGCAUUUUUCGUCGUGAACGGUGCGUGCGUAGGUGUCUGCUUUUAGACCUUUCGGUUACAGGGGAUUUUUAAUUUUCUGAUGAAGCCUCAGGGCGACCACUUUCACUGCCUCAUCGACAGUUCCGAGAAUCAAGCAAUCGUCCAGGGCAGCGCAGUGGAAGCAUUAGGGCUUUUUGGAGGAAGGCCACAGGACAGAUGACACAGAUAGUUAACAUAGAAAGAAGAAAGAAAAAAGUGUUACAGAAGGGCAAAAGAGGAGUUUCCAAAAGAGAAAGGCUACCGACAGGUUAUUCUCGUAUUGUAUGCGCAAAUUACUUUUUUUUCCAGAAGCACGAUUUAUUUCUUCUUUGGUGCAAAUUUUUGUUAUUAUUUUUCUACGUCACAGCAAGGUGCGGUUGGUUGGUCAAGGAGGCUAGGUCACUGUUGGCAAAAUCGAGCCCUCCCCCUCGGCAAGUCCAAAUGCUCCCACAGCUGUUGUUUUGCUUUGUGGCAAAUUCCCUGACAGACCUCAAGAGACGUGUCUUAUUUUCUUACUGAUGUAGUCUCACAAUUACUUUGAUAUAUGUCUUCUAUUACCAUUACUAUCAUAAUCAGCGGCAUAUUCUCCAGCAACUUCCCACGACUGUUUGGGAAACUUUCAACUCAAAGAUGCUGUGUAUGCUAUAUACAGCUGGACAGUUACGUAUAUCCAAUACACAUACAUACUCUUCGCAACCUUGGUGUAAACUGUUGAGAAGGCAACAAUCAAAAAUUCCAUUUUGCUAAAACCUAAAAAGAAAAUGUUUUUGGAGUAGGAUGCCAGUCUUUCUCUUUAGUUUACUACUUGAAAGUCACAAAGAAAUCUGCAAAUGCCUUGAGCACGGAGGACAGCAUAGCGUAAUUGUUUUAUAUCAUUUUUAUUUAUUGAGCCAACGCAUUGCUAGAAGAGCAUAUGUUGUGUACUAUAAUGUUGUAUAAAGUUUGUAAAAUAGUCAAGAAAUAUUUUAUAUUUUUAGUUGGUAAGGAACGAGAUCUCCAAUUUUGAACUUUAAUUGUUCGAACAUGGAAUGUGAUUUGUUUUUAGUUUGCUGAAGAAAUGGAGGUGCCAAUCUGUGCAUCAUAGCGUAUGUGAAGCAAGGGAACUUGGGGGUUUAGUUGUAAGAAAAUUAGUUAUUCAAAUCCAAAGUCACUUAUAACACUGAUCCCUGGCCCUGCCCCUAAGAUCCUAAGUGUCAGCUCUUUUGUACAUAUAUGAUUCUGCAGGCAUUUUCUUAUACACAGAUCUUUUUGAAUAUUGUAACUGUGUCCCGUACUUUCAUUUUCUUUUUACUUGUAUGUAUGAUGAAUUUAGAUACACCUGGAAGAUUUUUGGGCUUUCUUUGCUAAUACUCAAAUGUUUUAAAACAAGUAAAGUUCAUAGUAAUUUUUUUUAUCAUAAAACUGCUAUAAUUUGUGAUACGUCAAGAUCACAACCAGUUUCAUGUCAAUUACUGUUUUAUGUCAGUUCUGCAGUUAAUUACUGUUUUUACUUUAUGUAUUUUACUGUUCUUUUAUUGAUUAUAUUUAUUAUGAUUACUUCUGUAAUUGUCAUCAUUAUCACUAUCAUUAUUAUUUUUUAUUAUUUUUUGUAAGCUUCAAAUAGUAACAGUUAUUCUAUUUGCAUUAGAAUGACGUCCUACGACUCCUCUCAAGCUAACAAGUUGGUAUGACUCGUAGAGACCCCAUAUGCAACAGCUGUAAAUUGUAGCUUUUUCCUAGUCAUAUAUAUUAUCCCUCCCUCCAGCCGCAGGGAGGUGGAGGACAGCCAGAGCUCGGUUUGAUGACUCAGACAAAAUCUUUUCUGAAUAAAAGCAAAGAAAACUCGACAGACCACACGCCGCGAGGAACCAGCGUCAUUGUGAUUUCGUCUUAUCGGAUCACUGCGAUUCCUCUCUGGAGUUUUCUUACGAAACCCGAAUGCCGAGUUUGGACGCUCCGUCCGUCGACAUUUCGUGAGUUUUUCUUACUUAACAUAGAGCCAUUUUUGGAUCUGCAUCGUAUACCUAACCUGCCUGGCCUCCAUAGGGAAUGUAGGCCCCAGGAGCUUCAUGUGUCACAUUUGGCUUUACACUGUAGGUUUACAAUUUUAUUUUCAAGUGAUUAUAAUGCGAUCCCAAGAACUUUUCAUAAGAAAUCCUGGAGCUUUCUUUCUCACCUCCUCGGCAUAUUCUGCUGACAUGUUUGUAUUAUGUUUAUUCCUAACCUUCAGAGCAGUUGUAUGUGCAAGUUCUUUGUGUUCAAGAAACAAUAAAGUUUGACAGAAAUACGGGAAA
rnacentral:misc_RNA from 1 species